rnacentral:lncRNA from 1 species
AUAGGUCGCAGACAAGGCUUGGAUCUGGCGUGGCUGUGGCUGUGGUGUAGGCCAGGAGCUACAGGUUUGAUCUGACCCCUAGCCUGGGAAACUCCGUAUGCCGCUGGCACAGCCUUAAAAAGAAACAAAACAAAAGCAAACCUGUGCGGGGAGAGGAGGAGUUGGUAGAAGGGAGACUGUGUGUGUCACCAUCAUCACCUGACACUACGGAUCAUGGACCCCACAGCAGGGUGUUCUAGUGCUUCCCGUGCAUGUGUCAUGGGAUCUCAGAGCAACCCCAGGGGGCGUGGGUGUGGGCACUCGUUUUUAAUAGCUGGAUGCCUGGCUCUGGUUGGUUAAGUAAAGUGUAAAGUCCAGUGUGGCGGAGCUGGCUCACCACUCCUAGGGGUGUGCUGGGAGCAGAGGAGGGUGAGAUAGCUGUGGGCUGGAGGCAGGGAGGCCUGGGCCUGGAGGGAGGCAGCAUUUGCACAGAAGGAGCAGACCAGAAACAGUCUGGUCAGAUUGGGGAAAUAACACUGGACAUUUGAAAUGUUCUCCUUGGGGGCUCCUCGUGCUCUGGCUGUGAGCCCAUAAAGUUGGAAGCAGGUCUUGCUGCUCAAGGGCAGUGGUUCAAAAUUGUGUCAGACACAAACAUCCCUUUCUGUAACAAGUAUUUAAUUAAUAACUAAUUAAUUAGUUUUUGCUUUUUAGGGCCACACCUUCGGCAUAUGGAAGUUCCCAGACUAGGGGUUGAAUAGGCGCCGCAUCUGCAACCUACACCACAGUUCACAGCAACCCCAGAUGCUUAACCCACUGAGCGAGGCCAGGGAUUGGACAUGUAUCCUCAUGGUUUGUUACCCCUGAGCCACGACAGGAACUCCUAUAACAAAUAUUUUAUAACGUCCCUUAAUAUCCUGAAGUGAAAUUCAAAGGCAGCACAUAAUCAUGUUUACAUAUGUGCUUACCUGUAAUACAAAGACAAAGACUACUUCCUACCAGUUGAGUGUCAGACUUGCCUGUGUACAUCCACCAGAGGACCAAAGCUACUGCAUCAACCUCCAAACUGGCCACCAGGGGGCGGUGUACCCCUUCCGCAGCCGUGAGCGGCUCCCCAGGCCAUGGCAGCGUUGACUUUGGGCUGCUUUCCUCUCCCUUCAGAAGGGCCUCAUGUCGCACUCCUCCUGAGGUGGCCGAUUGUCUCCCUGAGGGCACCUGAGUGGUAAGAGGGCGGGCAGAGUGAAGAGAGGAAGUUACAGAGGGUAGAGCUGACCCCCUAGUUAGGAUGAGAGAUUUCUAGUCACAUGAGCGGGGCAUGAUUAGAGUCAUGUGCUUUAAAGUUUUGCUUUUGUUGUUGAGUCAUUUGCUUGAAAAAUGAUUAUAAAGUUACAUGUUUAUUUUCCUUGAAAUUAUUUUGCUGUUUUUUUGCAAUCGAUAAGUAUUCAUUUAAUAUUUUUCUUUAUAUGGAUUUAAUUUUUCUUUAACCUAAAUACAUAUGUUUAAUGGAAACUUUAAAUGUAUAAGUGGAAAGCUUAUGUCACUUGGCAUAAUUAGGGGGUAACUUUAAAACAAAAGACAAAAGCUGAAGAUAUAAAACAAUGUUACUACAUUCUUAUUGAUACUUAUGCUUUGUUUUCCCACCAAAGGUCCAUUCUGUCUUUAUAAAAAGUUUAACAAAUAUUAAAGAGCUGUUAAAUACACAGUUACACCAAACCAGGACUAUCCUUAAAGUGAUCAGAGAACUAAAAUAGAAGUGAAUGGGAAUAUUUUUCUCAUUCUGUAAGGGAAUCUACAUUAUUUAAAGCUUUAUCUGUGUACCCCUUAAAUCAUCUCCCAUUCAACAGUGGACAAAAAUGUCUCCCACUCUGGAGACACUGGUACAGCAGAUGGCUUCCUGCACGUGGAGUCAAGGGACCACUUACCAGCUGUGUGUCUGUACAGGUUGCUUGCCCUCUCUGGGCCUUUCUGUCCUCACCUGUAAAAUGAGGAGGUUAGAAGAGAUGAUCUCUGAAACUCUUUUGGAUCUCAGAGUCAGAGACCUUGAGGCGCUGACUCUCCCUGGGAGAUGUAGGACUUAAUGUGGACAUCCUUUUGUUUUGUGCUUGGGACCUUUUCUUUCUUUUCUUUUUUUUUUUGGCUUUUAGGGCCAUACCCACAGCAUAUGGAAGUUCCCAGGCUAGGGGCUGAAUUGGAGCUGUAGCCGCUGCCCUACACCACAGCCACAGCAACACCAGAUCUGAGCUGCAUCUGUCACCUACCCCAUAGCUCAUGGCAAGGUGGGAUCCUUAACCCACUGAGCGAGGCCAGGGGGUCAAACCUGUGUCCUCAUGGACACUAGUCAGAUUCCUUUCUACAUGAUGGGAACUCCUGUUUAGUGCUUAGAACCUUUGAAGGGGAAUGUGGAAAACUAUGUUCUCAGAAAUUCCAGCCAGCGCCCUCUCCCUCAGAGUGAUUUAGUCUAACAGAGCAGAACAGCUGAGCAUUUAGAGCCUGGAAUUAAGGAGACCUGGAUGUAUUUUUUUUUUUUUUUUUUUUUUUUUUGUCUUUUCUAGGGCCGCACCCACGGCAUAUGGAGGUUCCCAGGCUAGGGGUCUAAUCGGAGCUGUAGCCACCAGCCCACGCCAGAGCCACAGCAACGUGGGAUCCGAGCCGCGUCUGCAACCUACACCACAGCUCACGGCAACGCCGGAUCCUUAACCCACUGAGUGAGCCCAGGGAUUGAACCCGCAAACUCAUAGUUUCUAGUCGGAUUCGUUAACCCUUGAUCCCCGACGGGAACUCCCUGGAUGUAUUUUUAUUUUAUUUUUUCUGCUUCUUCUUCCUCUUCUUCUUCUUCUUCCUCUUCUCCUCCUCCUCCUUCUUCCUUUGCUUCUUUAAAAAUAAUUAUUGGAGUAUGGUUGACUUAACAAUGUAUUAGUUUCAGAUAUACAGCAAAAUGAAUUGGCUAUACAUAGGUAUUUAUGAUUCUUUUUUUCCCACAUAGGUUAUUACGAAACUAUUGAGUAGAUUUCCCUGAGCUAUACAGUAGGUUCCCAUUAAUCAUCUAUUCUAUACAGUUGUGUGUAUAGGUUGCUCCCAUCUUUCCAAUUUCUAACCCACCCCUCCCACCCCCUGAGAUGUGGGUUUAAGUCCUUCCUCUGCCUCCUACAAGUUGGUGACUUUGAGCAAGUUACCUUCUUUGGGCCCAGUUUCUGUAGCUAUAAAGUAGGGACAGUAGAGUUCCUGUCUUGGCUCAGCAGAAAUGAAUCUGACUAGCACCCGUGAGGACAAAGGUUUGACUCCUGGCUUCACUCAGUGGGUUAAGGAUCCGGUGUUGCUGUGGCUGUGGUGUAGGCCAGCAGCUACAGCUCUGAUUCGACCCUUAGCCUAGGAACCUCCAUAGCCCUCUGGUGUGGCCCUAAAAAGACUAUAUAAGUACAUAAAUAAAUAAAUAGGGACAGUAAUAGUAUUUAUCCUUAUUGUGAAGAUUCAAUUAUAAUGUCAGGUGCUUAUCACAGUGCCUGGCCCAAGUCUUAGCAGUGAUUCCUGUGUAUUUUGGUAAUCCCUAGGACCUAUUUACCUAUUUAUUUAUUUUUAAUAAAACUGGGACAUCCUGGAGGUAAGGCACUGGGGGAAACUCUUUGGUGGCCCUGUCCCCAAUAUCGUAAAAUGAUGAAAUGAAAUGAAUGUUACGGACACCCAAGACGGCGAGGCCUUGUCUGAGAAAGGUGAGUGUGAAUGCGUAAGGCCCUGCCACCCACACUUGGCCCUGGUGGUAGUGUGAGGGCCAAGAGUAUUUGUGUGGGUUUUAGAUUUUUGAAAAGAAAUUUUUUUUUUUUUUUAAAGCAUUAGCCGAGCAGCUUGUGGCUUUCCAGCCCACAGGUUUCCUGCGUCUCAGCCUGGCCCCUUGGUGCAGGUGCCUGCAAGUGCGUGUGGGGGGCAGGGAAUAGUGGGGGGCACGGCAGAGGGACAGAGCUUCCCCUGGUGGCCCCUGAUCUGCUCUACACCACAGCAUAUGGGGCUGGGUGAGGUGGCUGGGACAACAGGAGCCUGAUGUUUGGAAGAGCAGCAUCGUGCCUCCUGGGACACCCAUCACUGAAGUCUUGCUGCCGCUUCUGGGACAUUCCUGACCAGGUGGAAUUCUUCCAAUAACAUUUUGCUGGGAUGGUCAUGUGAUGGCUCCCUAAAGCAUAAUCUGAGCUGUGGACCUGGAUUUUCAUCCUCGCCUGACCGCUAAUGAGCUCUGUGACCUUUCUGAACAUUUGUUUCUUCCUUUCCUUAUUUGUUAACUGAAAGGUUAGAUCAUACCGGUGGUUUUUAGCUCUGACUUAUUUGUGUCAUCUUGGUGUGGGGUAGAUGUCACAGAGCCCUUGGACAAGUUGAUAAGCAUUGUAGAACCCCUCUCCAGAAAACUGUACGUCCUCACAUAUUUUAUGUAAAAUUUCAGGAUGUUUCAAGACCUCCCUGGAAUUCCAGGUUGCAGACCACUGAUUCUGUGCGUCAUUUGGCUUACAAGUUGGUCCAUGCCUUCCAAGUUGGCUUUCUUGCUGAAUCCAAGCCAAGUGAAGGAUCUGUCUGUUUGUAAACAUAUGUUCACUACUCUCUCCCUCGAACUCCAGCAAAAUCAGCCACCGCCCAGCAGGGCCACGGAGGAGCUGCGCCAUCCAGGCCUUGGCAUGUGACCGUACGAGGCAUCCCCAGUUGAUGGUCAGGCCUUUCUCUCAUUCACAGAGAGGUGGGACAUGGGCCAGCAGCAGAGUCUCUGGCUGAGGGCUCAGCCUGAGGCUGGCUCUCCCUGUUUGGGUUCAGGAGACAGUAUUAAUUAGUGGCUGGGAGAGGCUAGAUAUAUACACUUAAAGAAGACUCAGGGAGUUCCUGUCUUGGCUCAGUGGAAAUAAAUCUGACUAGCAUCCACGAGGACACAGGUUCAAUCCCUGGCCUUGGUCAGGGGGUUAAGUUGCCUUGAGCUGUGGUGUAGGUCACAGACAUGACUUGGAUCCCAUGUGACUGUGGCUGGCAGCUACAGCUCCGAUUCGGCCCCUAGCCUGUGAACCUCCAUGUGCCCAGGGUGUGGCCCUAAAAAGACCAAAAAGACCAAAAAAAAAAA